GCCGUAUUGGUCUAAUGGUCAUGACAUCUGCCUUCCAAGCAGAAGAUGGGAGUUCGAUUCUCCUAUACGGCU
rnacentral:tRNA from 2 species